CUAGUUCUUAGUGUCAGCUUAUCGUGCAGAGGCGGGGCUUCCAGCACGGCUGCUUCUUACUAAAUCUCAACCGAGUCUUCCUCGGGGAUUGCAAGCCACACUUCGGCGGCUGCCCAACUUUUCCUGUAGGGAGCAUCAGUUUUUCCAUCCUCAAAGCCCCAGCAGACGGGGUUUGGGGAGAGCCGGGCUACCAGUAGAGAGGAAGAAUGCUCCGCAGUGUGCUCCCUUUGAGGCCUGGAGAGGAGCUGGAUAAAACGUGCCACAGAUUGGCCAAACUCAUCCAGUGUCUCCCAAUGAUGCCUUGCACAUUCCUGCCAGAGUCCAUCCUUCCAAACACUUCCUGCCCCUUUCAACCACUUUCCCACCGAGCAAGAUCUCAUCCCAGUUUUCCCUGGCUGCCCAAUUUGCUGGGGUUUUUCCUUUGAACAAUUUUAUUCUAUGCCUCGCUUGUUCGUCCAAGUAGAUUAUAAAAUACAGGAGGGCAGGAACCACCCAUUGACUUCUUUUUGUUCCCCACUCUUCCAAAAAUACCGCCUUGCAGAGAAGGAACUCAUUAAACAUGUGAUUGA